rnacentral:rRNA from 1 species
GCGGCGGGCCUAAUACAUGCAAGUCGAGGGGCAGCACGGGUAGCAAUAUCUGGUGGCGACCGGCGCACGGGUGCGUAACGCGUAUGCAAUUUGCCCAUAACUGGGGGAUAGCCUUCCGGAAGGGAGAUUAAUACCCCAUAACAUUGCGAGGUGGCAUCAUCUUGCAAUUAAAACUCCGGUGGUUAUGGAUGAGCAUGCGUGUCAUUAGCUAGUUGGUGAGGUAACGGCUCACCAAGGCUACGAUGACUAGGGGAUCUGAGAGGAUUAACCCCCACACUGGUACUGAGACACGGACCAGACUCCUACGGGAGGCAGCAGUAAGGAAUAUUGGACAAUGGUCGAAAGACUGAUCCAGCCAUGCCGCGUGCAGGAUGAAGGCCCUCUGGGUCGUAAACUGCUUUUAUAUGGGAAAAAACGCUUGUUCGUGAACGAGCCUGAUGGUACCAUAUGAAUAAGCAUCGGCUAACUUCGUGCCAGCAGCCGCGGUAAUACGAAGGAUGCAAGCGUUAUCCGGAUUUAUUGGGUUUAAAGGGUGCGUAGGCGGGCUAAUAAGUCAGUGGUGAAAGCUCACGGCUCAACCGUGAAAUUGCCAUUGAUACUGUUAGUCUUGAGUAUGGUUGAAGUUGGCGGAAUGUGCAGUGUAGCGGUGAAAUGCUUAGAUAUUGCACAGAACACCGAUUGCGAAGGCAGCUAGCUAAGCCAUAACUGACGCUGAGGCACGAAAGCAUG